rnacentral:misc_RNA from 1 species
UAUCCCUCUAAAUCUGCCUCCGUUACCAGUAUCAUGUCCCCCGAGUGGAUGGGAGAACUGGCCAGCUUCCAGCUACUAAUUGCAGGGAACUCCGACUUCCGCCUGCUAUAUUCUUGAACAGCCGUCCAUUGCGAGGGAGCCAACAACACUCUGGGCCUUCUUGCUCGCACAUAAUCCAAAGCAGCAUCAGGUGUCAUAUUCUUGUACUCCACCAAGUAGCACAGGACGAUAGUGGUG